UGAGUCGUAGCCGAGGUUCCACAGGAGGGGGCCCAGAACGGACCCCUGUGGAACCCCGCACGACAUC
rnacentral:pre_miRNA from 1 species